UAUAUAUAUUUUUUUACUUGCCUUUGGAAAGAACUUUGUAAAAUUUGUUAAACUUCCUGUAUGGAAUGAAGUACCUUAUUACACAUUUCUACUCUUGUUAAAUAACUGGGGGAAAUGUGUUAUAUCUAGGCCUCACUUUAUAAAUAUUUGUUGAACUUAUUGAAUUCAGACAAGGAAGGCCAGAGGGGUUUGUGUGAGCUGUUCUCUGCCGUCGGCUGAUAUCGCAUUUGCUUUGAUAAAUAAUAUUUUACCUUCCCAUUUGGGUAAUGCCUGCCUUAGGUUGAGUUCUUCUUAAAGCAGAUUCUUAGAUGAAGAUUCAUACAAGUGGUUUAUUUGUGAAUUGAAAGAAAUACAUGGGGUUAUGGGGAAAUGAGACAGGGAAGGGAGGCCAGUUGCUAAAGUCAAAACAGGUGCCUCUAAGCUAGCUGCCACGGGAAGGGAAUGUAGAUGAGUGUCCAUAUGUCAAUGCCAUUGGUCAUUAGAUGUUUUUGAUGAGGACUGCUCCAUGAUGGUUCAUUUCCUGGCUCUUGCAGGCUGUCAUGAAGGUGGCAAAUGAGUCUUCAGGGACAGGAGAGCACCCUCAGGAAAAGAAGCCAAGAAGCCAGGGGUUGGCUUUCUCUUGGAAGUUAGGCAGUGGUUGAUGAGGUGAUCAAGGUGGGAGAUAUGAGUGGAGAACAAUCAGCGUCUGCCAGAAUGACAACCAUUUUUCACAUCUUCCUUAAUAUUUUAAAAAACAGAUAUAUUCUAAGACUUUUCUUAUAAUGACUAGAGAGGGUUUUAAAAAGUGGUUUUAUAUUUGAUGGAACCCUUGUUGGUGCUGCAGUUAAAGAGUUACUUCAAAAUCCUGCCUCAGCACACCCUGUUCCUUUUUCUUUGCACUCCCCGAAGCCAAUGUUUCAGAAGCAACUGCCGAUCAGCAGAAUUCAUCUGUUUCUCCCACAGGGCUAAUCCCUGACCGACCUGGAAGCCAAGCCAGGCUCUAACCUGGCAGACUCACUCUUCUCCUGCUCCUCUUUUACGUAAUCCCAUGCUUAUUGAUUCUCUAGAAAAUCUGUUUUCCUUUUGCUCAAAGCAGAGUACAAAGCAAGAAACUGCCUCGCACUCUGGAGAAAACACAUGAAAUCACAAGCUAACCAGUGACUGUCAUUCCAUAAAAUAGCAGUUCUAUUAAAGUGCAUUAUGUAAAAAUGGGAUUUGUACUAGAGUUGUUUUAUAGGAGGUUGGUUUAUAUCAUCACCUGUUUCAUUGAAAAUUUGGUCGGUGAUGAGUCAUCCAUAAAACUGGCAGAAUAAAACUUCAGGAGUGGCUGUUGUAAAGUUCUUCUAAGGCUCAUAAAACCGGGUUAUGCGCUUCCACAGUUUUGAUAUUGCUCAAACAUUUCAUCAAAAGAACGUGAAUAUCAUCAGUGCUACAUUUUAAUUUGAUUUUUAGGAACUUUCAUUUUUAACUUUCCUUCCAUGACCCCUGAUCUUUUAUUUGAAAGUAUGGGAACACUUGACCCAUUGUUCCUCUUCACAUUGGAUCAGAGAAUACAAAAGUUAAACUCUUACACACUGCUAUAGAUAAGAGAGAGUUUAAAUGUUAGUUAUAGAAUAAGAACCUUAACGCUUUUGUGAUUAUAUAAAAAUAAAAGCUAGCAUUUGCUGAACAUAUGUACUGUUUCAAACAUUACAUUGACUUAUGACUCACUGUUUACGUUCAUUGCAUCACAUACUCUUUAUGACAAUCCUGUGAAAUAGUUGCUCUUUUCUUAACUUUUAUUUCAGGAUCGGGGUACACAUGCAGGUUUGUUAUACAGGUAAGUUGCAUGUCACAGGGGUUUGGUAUACAGAUCAUUUCAUCACCUAGGUAAUAAACAUAGUACCCAAUGGGUCACUUAUUAUUAUCCACACGUAUUAAUACUUAGAAGAAACCUGAGGCGCAGGGAAAUUAAAUAACCAUUUAAGGUAAGAGUCAGGAAUCAAACCCUAGUUUCUCUACACGAAAGUAUGCUUUAAAAAACUCUACUGUGUUAUGAAAUAAUAUGUGCCCAUGUGAAAGAAAUAUAUAGACAAAAUUAAUCUAGGAUGGAAAAUAUCACAGUGGUGGUUGCCUCUGGGUGGGGGGAUUGAGACUGACCUGGAGGGAGCAUGAGAGAACUUUCCAGGGUAAUUGAAGCCUCCUAUCUUAACCAGCACAUAGUUAUAUAUAGAUUGUAAGAGUAUAUGCAUUUGUCAAAACAUAUUCGGUGGUAACACUUAAGAUCAAUGUAAUGUUGUUCCCCUCUUAACUUAUGGAUACUAGGCUUAAUAUAUGGGUGAUGACAUAAUCUGUAAAUAAACCUCUAUAAUACAGGUUUACCUAUGUAACACACCUGCACGUAUAUCCCUGAACUUAAAAUACAUGUUUUUUAAAAAGAUCAAUGUAUGGACCAAAGGCAAAUUAUACAGGCACACCUUCCCAGGUGUGCUAUCCUCCCACCUCUGUUUUUAGUCAUAGAAUCUGAAUGGAAGCAGCCACUGCCCUCAUCCUGAUCCCCAAACCACGUGAGAGUUCAAACGUUGUGCACAAGACCCAGUCCAGCCAGUAAGAAUCCUUACCAAGAACUUUUAUUAAAACAUUGCCAUCGGCCGGGCGCGGUAAAUUUUUUAAGAUGACAGUGAGGACACUUGGUCAAGAUGAAACAAUAGUAAGAUCAGGGACUAUGUAUGAUGCCUAUAUGUGCCAGGCACUGUUGUAAUCAUUUUAUACACACUAACUUAUUCAAUGAACACAUAGACACAAACCCACACACCUUUGAGCUAUAUCCCAUUGUGAUCAUCCUGAGGUACACAGAAAGUGCUUUGUUCUUGUCACAGAGCUAGGAAGCAGCAGAGGCAAGAGUUGAAACUAGCCAGUCUGUAGAGACUCGCAUAUUUCAUGCCAAGAUGUUUGGACAAGAGAGGAACUGAAGCAUGCUAAUAACGUGAUUAAUAUCCCUAGAUUCUGACUAAGUUUGUGGAAGUUAUUUAUAAGGAGGAAAGCUGGAGAACCAAGGCAACAGGUCUUCUUGGGGUCAGAUGCAGUAGCUCAAGAUAGCAGAAAGAGGUCAGUGAAGAGACUUUGAUCUAGAACACUGAGACCUGGUCACUAGCUUCAGUAAGAGUGGACAUGGGGAGGACUCACUGUCACCCUUCUGUCUAGUUUAGGUGAAUGAGUGAGAAUGAGGAGUUUGAUUUCCUUAGUGAACCUCCAUAGGAAGUGUCUGGCACACAGCUGGAAUGCAUAAGAUACAGCUCUGGCAAUCUUGACUCUAGACAAACAUGGAGUUACUAUCUUCUUAACUGGAAUAGGUAGAAAUAUAGGACAAAUACCACUGUCAAGCUUCCCGCUUUUCACUUUUAUUUGUUAUUAUAAUGUAGCUAUGGAAGAUAUGCAAAGAAGGAAAAUAAAGU
rnacentral:lncRNA from 1 species